AAGGACCAGAUAACAAAAGGAGACCAAUCCAUUAUUAUUUCAUCAAAUUUUUAAAACAGUAAUACAGUACAUUCAUUGAGAUAUAUAUAUGGAAAGUGUGAACCAUCUCUUCCUGUUUAAAGGGAAAUCACAAACCAAAAGCCCAGCCAUCUCCCCAAAUGUGUCCUCCCCACUGAAAUCACAGGCAACGCCAUGGAAAGGCCUUUCCAAAGCCUGCCAGCCUCCUCUUGUAUUCUGCAGAAACUAGUUGCUCCCGGUGUACAUGCCUGGAACUGAGUGGCAGCCAUGACACAGACACAAGAGAAGGUGCUUGGUUUGUAAGUCCCCUUUAAGCAGCUGUCCUCCUGCCUAUGUCCUGAAUGUAUGGCGUAUGGAGCAUUCGGUGUGCCAAGGUGGAUGAGAACAGACUGCUAGUCCUUGCUACCGUGCAGUUACUUUGUUCCUGGUUUCCAAUGGCUACCUCCCACCUUUGACUUCCCACUGCAGCUUGGUUUGUUUACACUUGGGCACGCUGGGUAGUUAGUACCAUCCCUCUGCCAGGCUGUUAAAGGCUGAUUCUGAUAUCAAUUUCCAGUGAGCUACCCUGAAAUGUUUCCUUAGAAGUACCCUUAUUCCACGCUCCACUUCACAGGGCUCAGGAUUAUCCGGCUACCUUCUCUCCCUCUAAAUUCCAGGUGUGAUCUGCUGCCAGCCCCUCGCGAACAGCAACAGUAUUGACAGUUUGUCCUGACGUUCUUGCAUUUGGUAUGGGAAACUGAUGGACUAUGAAAAAUAUCCUGUGGGGAAGGGCAGUAAGAAUGAAAUCUAUGCCAAGGACAUGCAACUUAAGAGUACUUUCAAAAAAAAAAAAGUAAGAUCUUUAAAUAAAUGAAAAAUAAACUAUGCUUAAGACAGCGUUAUGAGGACCACCCUCUUUCUAUGGUGAAUUUUGAACAAGGCAGAACAACAGCUAGAUGAUCUAUUUCCCUGAAGCAAGAGAGGAGUUAGCUUUCCCCCAGGCAAACUGAUCGAAAUGAUCAUUAUUUAUUAAUGAAAGGAAGAGGCAAAUUGGUGAAGUAAGUUGAUCGAGGACAUGGUGGGUGACACACACCAAUGGCAGUACUAGGACUGCUUUAAAACUGAGAUAAACAAGCUGGACUGUGACACAUCACUGUUUCAGAGAGAGGGGAUACAAAGUACCCCGAGUGAAUCUCAUCUCUCCUACACAGGUGGUGAGUUUAAAAUGACAGUCUCCCUUACAGUUAUACAAACACAACAAUCACAGGAAUAGGAAGCUAAAUAAAUAGUGUGUGGCUGUCUUUAGAUGAGACCUUUAAUGUUCUUUAAAUAAUUUUUGAUAAUGUCUUUUAAAUCAUUACAUACAAGUGCCAUUGCAGUGGCAAUAUUCCAGUAGGGCAGCAUUUUGCUAAAUGUAAAAGAUUGCCAUUUAGAACUCAUACAUAUACACGUGUAUGUACAGUUAUAUCAACACUAUUUAUAUACAUAUAUAUCUAGAGAGCAACAUUUCAUUGCCUUUGAAUAUCUCUAUGUCCACUCCCACAAUAUAUCCUGGAGACAUACUGUGUGAGUAUAUACCAAAGUGUAUGUACACAUGCGCCAACAUGUAUAUAUACACUUCUGUGUGUGCAUAAGAGCUUUAAAGGCACGAUAUAGAAGGGUGCAAGUUUUCUAGAGAGCUGCAGCAGAGUUAAAACUGAAUGUCACAACUGUGAGAGAAGUCAAAAGGAAAUCUAGCAGAAUUAUUACACAAGAACUCAUUAGAGCAUUUCAUCAUGAGAAACAAGAGUCAGUUAUAGAAUUCAAGAGGCUUCCAUGUGACUCUGUGUACUUUGUUAAAAUUCAAGUGGUAAAUGGUUAUAUUUAAAACACAAAGCAAAUCAAACUCUUUAAAUGAUAAGUGUGGAAAUACACCUAACACUAAUAUCAAUCAUAAAGUCAUAAUUACAUUUUUCAAUGUAAAUAAAAUACUCCAAAGUUACCUAGGUUAAGAAAUUGAGAAUUAAGUUUUUGAACAUUGGCUUUUUAUUUUUGAUGACUACCCAAUUCUCAGAGAAAACAUAAUUGAAAGCUGUAUACCGUGGGGAAGUGUCGUUGGUAAGGCCUGAGUGACAGCUGACACAUUCAUGCCCAGGUGUCUAGUGAGAGAGCUAAAUCAUCCCAAGGACGUGGCUUCUCACAUGCCCAGCACAGGGCCACCUCAGGAGCCAAUCUCCAGCACUUGGACAACAGACAACUUGGCAAAGAUGUGUGAUUGUUAAGUAAUGAGAGAAUAGCUAGCAGAAAUCUGAGAAAGAAGAGUUCAAAGAUUGGUUUGUGAGCACUAAUCUGUAAUCGUGACUGUAAUCCAAAGGGUUCCCACGUCAGCAUGCUUGGUGAUGUGCUCUACACUGUGGCCAUUUCCACUGGCUGGCAGAAUAACCCAGAAUUCCCACAGAUGCAUAAUCUUGCUUAGCAAGGGCUGUUAAUCUAUUACACACACACAUUUUAGGGAAAUAUAUGUAUAUAGCUUUAUCUAUACACACACAUAUACAUACGUGUAUAUAUAGAUUUAUACAAAUGUAUAAAUAAACAUAAUACUUUUUCAAUCUUUCCAUUGACAAGGCAAGUUCACAUUCAGCAAAGUGCCACCACAUCCCAUAUACACAUCUCUGUACAGAUAUACACAAAGGGUCUGUUUUCACCCUUCAAUAAGGGGGAAUUGAUUCUAGCAAAUUCCAUUAACCAGCAACUGAAGGGAGAAAUGGCAUCAGUACAAACUCCCUUCUUUCGCUUGCAUGCAUAUGUACAAGAAAUAUGCAGGUUUCUUAAAAUCUGAAAGCAAGAGUGAAUGAAACAGGGAGAUGCUACAAAAACACAAGUGUGAAAAACAACAUGGAGAGCUUGCCUGGGUUUUGUCUGGAUCUAAGAUGAAGUAACUGAGGCCCCAAAGACAACUACCAAUUCAAGUGUGUUCCUGGGAGUUGCCCUGGCAUUUCUAAGUACAGCGCCUUCAUAUUAAAGUAAGUGUGAUGGAGCACUUGGCCC
ensembl:lncRNA